UACGUAGGGGGCUAGCGUUGUCCGGAUUUAUUGGGCGUAAAGAGCUCGUAGGCGGCUUGUCGCGUCGGCUGUGAAAACCUGGGGCUCAACCCCGGGCCUGCAGCCGAUACGGGCAAGCUAGAAUUCGGUAGGGGAGACUGGAAUUCCUGGUGUAGCGGUGAAAUGCGUAGAUAUCAAGAGGAACACCUGAGGUGAAGACGGGUUGCUGGGCCGACACUGACGCUGAGUGCGCGAAAGCCAGGGGAGCAAACGGG
rnacentral:rRNA from 1 species